UGGGGGAUAUUGCACAAUGGAGGAAACUCUGAUGCAGCAACGCCGCGUGAAGGAUGAAGGUCUUCGGAUUGUAAACUUUUGUACUUGGGGACGAUAAUGACGGUACCCAAGCAGCAAGCUCCGGCUAACUACGUGCCAGCAGCCGCGGUAAUACGUAGGGAGCAAGCGUUGUCCGGAUUUACUGGGUGUAAAGGGUGCGUAGGCGGCUAUGCAAGUCAGUUGUGAAAACUAUGGGCUCAACCCAUAGCCUGCAAUUGAAACUGCGUGGCUUGAGUGAAGUAGAGGUAGGUGGAAUUCCCGGUGUAGCGGUGAAAUGCGUAGAGAUCGGGAGGAACACCAGUGGCGAAGGCGACCUACUGGGCUUUAACUGACGCUGAGGCACGAAAGCAUGGGUAGCAAACAGGAUUAGAUACCCUGGUAGUCCAUGCCGUAAACCGAUGAUUACUA
rnacentral:rRNA from 1 species